UACGUAGGGGGCAAGCGUUGUCCGGAUUUAUUGGGCGUAAAGAGCGUGUAGGCGGCCUGACAGGUCUGCUGUGAAAACUCGAGGCUCAACCUCGAGAUGUCGGCGGAAACCGUCUGGCUAGAGUCCGGAAGAGGAGACUGGAAUUCCUGGUGUAGCGGUGAAAUGCGCAGAUAUCAGGAGGAACACCGGUGGCGAAGGCGGGUCUCUGGGAAACAACUGACGCUGAGGAACGAAAGCGUGGGUAGCAAACAGG
rnacentral:rRNA from 1 species